UACAGAGGUCUCAAGCGUUGUUCGGAUUCAUUGGGCGUAAAGGGUGCGUAGGUGGCGUGGUAAGUCGGGUGUGAAAUUUCGGAGCUUAACUCCGAAACUGCAUUCGAUACUGCCGUGCUUGAGGACUGGAGAGGAGACUGGAAUUCAUGGUGUAGCAGCGAAAUGCGUAGAGAUCAUGAGGAAGACCAGUGGCGAAGGCGGGUCUCUGGACAGUUCCUGACACUGAGGCACGAAGGCCAGGGGAGCAAACGGG
rnacentral:rRNA from 1 species